UCUAUGAUUUGGGUUUAGGGUAUAGGUUUUGGGUUUAGGAUUUACGGUUUAGGUUUAGGAUUUACUGUUUGGACUUAUGGUUAAGGUUUUGGGUUUAGGGUAUAUAAUUUGGGUUUAAGGUUUACGGUUUAGCUCUAGGACUUGAGUUUAGGGUAUAGAGUUUAGGUUUAUAGUAUAGUUUUUGGGUUUAGGGUAUAUAAUUUGGGUUUAGGGUCUAGGAUUAGGGGUUAGGAUAUAGAGUUUGGGUUUAGGGGUUUGGAUUUGGGUUUAGAAUUUAGGGUAUAGGGUUUAGAAUUUAAGAUUUAUGGUUUAGCUGGAAGUGUUAUCGUCGUUAAAAUUAACGUUUUUAUUUUUUGUAGCUAUUUUUUAUUUAAUUUAAUGUUUUUUAAUUAAUAAUAUAUGUGUCACUUUAAUU
rnacentral:lncRNA from 1 species